UGGAGGUAACCAUGGUAGCUCAUCAGGAAAAACAUCUGGAAAGUCUUUAACUGUUCUGAUAUCCUUAACAGAAGAAACCCUAGAAUCUAGAACACUAAUGUAGGCCAAGUACGCCUCACAACCCUUACGAACCAACUUCUCAGCCCUUAAUGUAGAAAUCACAUUUGUCAAGUAGUUUUGACGCUCCCCCAUUAUAACUACCUCG
rnacentral:lncRNA from 1 species